UACGGAGGAUGCAAGCGUUAUCCGGAAUGAUUGGGCGUAAAGGGUCCGCAGGUGGCAAUGUAAGUCUGCUGUCAAAGAAUGCGGCUUAACCUCAUCAAGGCAGUGGAAACUACAUAGCUAGAGUACGGUCGGGGUAGAAGGAAUUCCUGGUGUAGCGGUGAAAUGCGUAGAGAUCAGGAAGAACACCGGUGGCGAAAGCGUUCUGCUAGACCUGUACUGACACUGAGGGACGAAAGCUAGGGGAGCGAAUGGG
rnacentral:rRNA from 1 species